rnacentral:tRNA from 1 species
GGAGGUUUAGCUCAGUGGCAUAAGCACCUGCCUUGCAAGCAGGCAGUUGUGGGUUUGAUCCCCGGUACCAGCCA